rnacentral:rRNA from 1 species
CCCUUAGAUGUUCUGGGCUGCACGCGCGCUACACUGACGCACGCAACAGGUGCCGGCUCCGAGAGGACUGGGUAAUCAUUUGAGUGUGCGUCGUGAUGGGGAUAGAAUAUUGUAAUUAUUACUCUUCAACGAGGAAUUCCUAGUAAGCGCCAGUCAGCAGCUUGCGCUGAUUACGUCCCUGCCCUUUGUACACACCGCCCGUCGCUCCUACCGAUGGGUGAUCCGGUGAAUGAUUCGGACUUCAGCGGCUCCCCUGGGGUGCGCCGGAGAAAGUUUUGUGAACCUUAUCACUUGGAGGAAGGAGAAGUCGUAACA